rnacentral:rRNA from 1 species
UACGAAGGGGGCUAGCGUUGCUCGGAAUCACUGGGCGUAAAGGGUGCGUAGGCGGCGCGGUAAGUCGGGUGUGAAAAUCUCGGAGCUUAACUCCGAAACUGCAUUCGAUACUGCCGUGCUUGAGGACUGGAGAGGAGACUGGAAUUCCUGGUGUAGCGGUGGAAUGCGCAGAUAUCAGGAGGAACACCGGUGGCGAAGGCGGGUCUCUGGGCCGUAACUGACGCUGAGGAGCGAAAGCGUGGGGGAGCGAACAGG